rnacentral:rRNA from 1 species
ACGGAAGGCAGCAGUGAGGAAUAUUGGUCAAUGGGCGGAAGCCUGAACCAGCCAAGUCGCGUGAAGGAUGAAGGUAUUAUGUAUUGUAAACUUCUUUAGACGUAGAGAAAUAAGGCGCUCGUGAGCGCUGAUGCUAGUAUACGUAGAAUAAGGAUCGGCUAACUCCGUGCCAGCAGCCGCGGUAAUACGGAGGAUCCGAGCGUUAUCCGGAUUUACUGGGUGUAAAGGGCGCGUAGGCGGGGAUGCAAGUCAGAUGUGAAAUCUAUGGGCUUAACCCAUAAACUGCAUUUGAAACUGUAUCUCUUGAGUGCUGGAGAGGUAGAUGGAAUUCCUUGUGUAGCGGUGAAAUGCGUAGAUAUAAGGAAGAACACCAGUGGCGAAGGCGAUCUACUGGACAGUAUCUGACGCUGAGGCGCGAAAGCGUGGGGAGCAAACAGGAUUAGAUACCCUGGUA